rnacentral:rRNA from 1 species
UACGUAGGGUGCGAGCGUUAAUCGGAAUUAUUGGGCGUAAAGAGCGUGUAGGCGGCCAGGUAGGUCGGUUGUGAAAACUGGAGGCUCAACCUUCAGAGGUCGACCGAAACCAUCUGGCUAGAGUCCGGGAGAGGAGAGUGGAAUUCCUGGUGUAGCGGUGAAAUGCGCAGAUAUCAGGAAGAACACCCGUGGCGAAAGCGGCUCUCUGGAACGGUACUGACGCUGAGACGCGAAAGCGUGGGGAGCGAACAGG